rnacentral:sRNA from 10 species
CCGCGUUAGGGAUAGCAGCGGCAUCCUUUUUAAAAGGAGACUGAGGAACUCGAAGUCACCGUUUAAAAAGAUAGAGCGCAUAGCCCGACCUGAA